GACGAACGCUGGCGGCGUGCUUAACACAUGCAAGUCGAGCGAUGAAGCUCCUUCGGGAGUGGAUUAGCGGCGGACGGGUGAGUAACACGUGGGCAACCUGCCUUAUAGAGAGGAAUAACCAUCCGAAAGGAUGAUUAAUACCUCAUAAUAUUGUAGCUUCGCAUGGAGCAACAAUCAAAGGAGCAAUCCACUAUAAGAUGGGCCCGCGGCGCAUUAGCUAGUUGGUGAGGUAACGGCUCACCAAGGCGACGAUGCGUAGCCGACCUGAGAGGGUGAUCGGCCACAUUGGGACUGAGACACGGCCCAGACUCCUACGGGAGGCAGCAGUGGGGAAUAUUGCACAAUGGGGGAAACCCUGAUGCAGCAACGCCGCGUGAGUGAUGACGGCCUUCGGGUUGUAAAGCUCUGUCUUCAGGGACGAUAAUGACGGUACCUGAGGAGGAAGCCACGGCUAACUACGUGCCAGCAGCCGCCGUAACAC
rnacentral:rRNA from 1 species